rnacentral:rRNA from 1 species
GAGGCGNUGCUAAUACAUGCAAGUCGAGCGGUACAGAAGGGAGCUUGCUCCCGGAUGUUAGCGGCGGACGGGUGAGUAACACGUGGGUAACCUGCCUGUAAGACUGGGAUAACUCCGGGAAACCGGAGCUAAUACCGGAUAGUUCCUUGAACCGCAUGGUUCAAGGAUGAAAGACGGUUUCGGCUGUCACUUACAGAUGGACCCGCGGCGCAUUAGCUAGUUGGUGAGGUAACGGCUCACCAAGGCGACGAUGCGUACCCGACCUGAGAGGGUGAUCGGCCACACUGGGACUGAGACACGGCCCACACUCCUACGGGAGGCAGCAGUAGGGAAUCUUCCGCAAUGGACGAAAGUCUGACGGAGCAACGCCGCGUGAGUGAUGAAGGUUUUCGGAUCGUAAAGCUCUGUUGUUAGGGAAGAACAAGUGCAAGAGUAACUGCUUGCACCUUGACGGUACCUAACCAGAAAGCCACGGCUAACUACGUGCCAGCAGCCGCGGUAAUACGUAGGUGGCAAGCGUUGUCCGGAAUUAUUGGGCGUAAAGGGCUCGCAAGCGGUUUCUUAAGUCUGAUGUGAAAGCCCCCGGCUCAACCGGGGAGGGUCAUUGGAAACUGGGAAACUUGAGUGCACAAGAGGAGAGUGGAAUUCCACGUGUAUCGGUGAAAUGCGUAGAGAUGUGGAGGAACACCAGUGGCGAACGCGACUCUCUGGUCUGUAACUGACGCUGACGAGCGAAAACGUGCGGAGCGAACAGGAUUAGAUACCCUGGUAGUCCACGCCGUACACGAUGAGUGCUAAGUGUUAGGAGGUGUCCGCCCCUUACUGCUGCAGCUAACGCAUUAAGCACUCCGCCUGGGGAGUACGGUCGCAAGACUGAGACUCGAAGGAAUUGACGGGAGCCCGCACAAGCGGUGGAACAUGUGGUUUAAUUCGAAGCAACGCGAAGAACCUUACCANGUCUUGACAUCCUCUGACAACCCUAGAGAUAGGGCUUUCCCUUCGGGGACAUAGUGACAGGUGGUGCAUGGUUGUCCUCAGCUCCUGUCAUGAGAUGUUGGGUUAAGUCCCGNAACGACCGCACCUUGAUCUAGUUGCAGCAUUCNCUGGNCAUCUAGGUGACUGCCGUGACAACCGGAGAAAAGGGGGGAAUACNGCAAUCAUCUGCCCCUAUGACCGGGCUACCCGUGCUACAUGGACAAACAAGGGCUGCAGACCGCAGGU